CGAAAGACCGACGGAGCAAGACCGCGUGAGGGAGGAAGGCUCUUGGGUUGUAAACCUCUUUUCUCAGGGAAGAAGCUCUGACGGUACCUGAGGAAUCAGCCUCGGCUAACUCCGUGCCAGCAGCCGCGGUAAUACGGAGGAGGCAAGCGUUAUCCGGAAUUAUUGGGCGUAAAGCGUCCGCAGGUGGCGAUUCAAGUCUGCUGUCAAAGUCCAGGGCUCAACUCUGGGUCGGCAGUGGAAACUGGUUAACUUGAGUACGGUAGGGGUAGAGGGAAUUCCCAGUGUAGCGGUGAAAUGCGUAGAUAUUGGGAAGAACACCAGUGGCGAAGGCGCUCUACUGGGCCGUAACUGACGCUGAGGGACGAAAGCUAGGGGAGCG
rnacentral:rRNA from 1 species